AUGUGCACCUGGUAGGGGAGAGACCAUGAUCAUGAAGGUGGUUCCCCCAAGAUGAGGCUAACUCAUUGCACUUCAGGUGUGCUGAUACCUGCGAUGUCCCCAAAUGCGGGAUACACAACUGCAAAAUUUGUGGUAGUGGGGAACUGCAUUCAUGCUCUCCCCUG